rnacentral:rRNA from 1 species
UACGUAUGGAGCAAGCGUUAUCCGGAUUUACUGGGCGUAAAGGGAGCGUAGGCGGAAAGAUAAGUCUGAUGUGAAAGCCCCCGGCUUAACCGAGGAAUUGCAUCGGAAACUGUGUUUCUUGAGUGCAGAAGAGGAGAGUGGAACUCCAUGUGUAGCGGUGGAAUGCGUAGAUAUAUGGAAGAACACCAGUGGCGAAGGCGGCUCUCUGGUCUGUAACUGACGCUGAGGCUCGAAAGUGUGGGUAGCGAACAGG